rnacentral:lncRNA from 1 species
UCUGGCACAUUUCAUACCCCUUUCCUGAUUCUACUGUAAGAACAGUCAACAGGAAAUAUGUUCACCGUAAAUGACUGUGAGGCAGUGAUGCAUGCUGCAGCUUCAUUCUUCUGGGAGAGUCUGAGUUUCCACCAUAAGAAAAGUCAGAGAUGUAGUUAUUUCCUGUCUUCCUCUUCACUGAAUCCUUGGACAGUACCCAUUUUAUGUUCUUAAGUGAAAAUGCUUUCUUCACUGUGUGUCUGAAAGUGUACGAAGUAUGUUUCUGAACAGAGUGCCUAUUGGAUCUUCUCUACAAUCAUAGUAGAGCUCAAAAGAACUUUGUUCAGGGUCCAGCUAAUUUUCUUUUUCUUUUUCUUUUUUUCCUGCCCCACAGCUAUUGUUGGAGUGUCAUAUGGGCAUCUCUCUCAUCUCCCAGAUCGAUGGCAUCGUCUAGGACUUCCCACAUAGACAAGAUAAACGAAAGGCUUCCAUGGACAGCUUGAGCCCUGAGGGCGGUGCCGAGCUGACAGCCUGGAACAUUGACCAACGCGCUGCAACUGACGUGUAAAUCACCCUCCGACUAGGGGUCCCGAAUCUGGAAAAGGAAAUGUCAUCUUUGGACUUUGCCCAUCAUGUGUUUAUGCACGAACAGUCCUUUCAAGUGCCUCUCUCCACCUUUGCAGACAAGUGGCAUAAUGCAGGCCAGGCGCAGUGGUUCACGCCUGUAAUCCCA